rnacentral:rRNA from 1 species
UGGGGAAUUUUCCGCAAUGGGCGAAAGCCUGACGGAGCAAGACCGCGUGAGGGAGGAAGGCUCUUGGGUUGUAAACCUCUUUUCUCAGGGAAGAACUCCAUGACGGUACCCUGAGGAAAUCAGGC